rnacentral:lncRNA from 12 species
GUGUGUCAGUUAUAACUAGAGAAAGGGAGUGUGGUCCCCCCUCAUUUAUUCUUUUUUUCCCUUUUUUUGAUGAAAAGGUCAACAAAAAAAAAAUGUUUGCUCAGAGAGAAAAGAUAUUAUGUAAAUAAUUAGCCCAUUCCAAGAUUAUGUUGCGCAUAUAUAUAGUACAGUAGAGAGCUGUAAGAGGACUAGAAUUUGCAGCAGGACUGGACAGUUUAUGACUUUGAGAAGUAGGAACUCUCUGUAGCUCUGCUUAUCUGGAAUGCAUGCAGAAUGGCUUGUACUGGCUUAAUGGAAUGAGGCCCCCAGCCUUGAUCUAGAUCUUCAACUUGGGAAGAAUCAGGAAUCGAUGAAGGAGGUCUCAACUGCUACUGCCAUACUGAACGGAACAGAAUCUCUUCAUCGAUUAAUAAGGAGGCUGUGUUACCUAAUUAGGUAGGCUCUCCGGGUGGCUGGCAUAUGUACCAGUGCCUCCGCAUGGGAACAAAAAGAGAGAGCUCGAGAAGAAACUUGGAUAAAGCAUUUCUGGAAUAGUCAGGUUGAAUCGGCUUGAACCAACACCCCGGGGGAGUCUGGCCGGGCUGACUUUGAUGAUGCUUUCUUUCUCUGCUUUUAUAGGCUCAGCCACAGCUUUCUCAUCCAUGCUUUGGGUCUUCUGAGAUUGUCCGAAGCAUCAAAAGGGUUGUCCUGUCUUGCCAGAGAAGACAGUGCUGAUAUCGAAGGCCAACAAAGACUGAAAACUGGGUCAUCCAUCAGUGUUUCGAGGGCAUCCAGAGUCAUAGAUUUGGCACUGCAUCCGUGAGCCAGCCGCCAGUGAGAACAGGUGUCUGACACCCCUCCCCACCGCCUUGUCCACGGCCUCCUGGACCUGCGCCGUCCCUAAACUCUUCCAGGUAUCCUUGGGGUCUAAUGUCAGUUUCAGUUCCCAGACCCGUUGCUUGAUACCCUCCCUCCUUCAAGGAGGGGCUUUUUGCUAGCCUCAGCUCAACUCACACUGGCCCUCUGGGAUCACUUCUGCUUUCUCUGCUCCAGGUCAACCCACCACCCGAUCCCCGAAUCGAAAGCACAGAA